CAGCCCCAGCCCCAGCCCUCCCCACUCCCCACACAUGGCCCAGCACAGUGCCCUGACACACCUUUGUCACCUGCCGAGGCAGAUGUGCAGUCAGUCGAUGUGGGCAAUCCAUGUUUCAUGUUCCUGCUCUGCAAACCUGGCGGUUUCCCAAGCAGCACACAGGGAAGGCUGCAGGAUCCCUCAUCAGAUUGUGUCACUUCCCUGUAAGACUCGUGUAUGGGAGACUUUGCAAGGCCAGUGACUUACCUGAGAACAUGCUCAUCUACACCUUGAACCAGGUUAGCCAAAACCCCCUCAGACAAGUGUUCUAUACCAGCUGCUCCCACACAGAUGCUCCAGGAGCAGCUGAGAGCCUUGGCCAGAAGCCAUGCACAGAGUGCACCUCUCCCCUCAGCACAGACCAGGGACCUGCAGC